GUGAAUGAGUAAAGAUGGAGCCCAUUCUCUGAACAUACACAUAAGCUGGUGCAGCUCUUCCAUGACUGGCUGUGGAGAUUUACCAGAUGCAGUGUGCAAGAUUCUGAGAACCUUGGCAGAAUGAAGUUGGAAUGGAAAUUUCUCUUGUGAUCGAAUCUGCAACUAUGGGUCACAGUCUCACAGCCACGAACAUCAAUCACCCAUCUGUGGACACCUUCUGGAGGUCCAAGAUCCAUUUUCUCCAAGAUCGCUGGACUAAGUGUAUAAAUGUAGGAGGGGACUAUGUUGAAAAAUGAAUGUGCUAGGUUUCUUAAAAUAGACUCCUUCUACCUUAGGCCACAAACUUAUCAAUCAUGCUUGCAGCAUGCUUACAAAGCCCAGCAGAACAACACAGGAAGCAGCAAAACAGAACACAAGAAGUACCAAAUCACCGACAGCAAAGCAACACCUUCCAUUCCUCCAUCCACCCACCCACAUGGAAGGUCCACCAACUCCAGGACGUUGGAUAGCUCAUUGCUUAUUGUUGAUAACUGCCCCUGUAAUUAGGAUCAACUAAAGCUGUAUUCAGAGCAGGCAUCCCAAAUAAAGAGUAAACAGAGGAUAGUGAUCCGUUCUCACCCUGGCGGAUGAAGGCUGCGACACUUUAAUGACCAGGUCCCUUUGGUAUUCUCCACACUAAUGAAUCCCUGAACACCACCUUACUUUUCCUUUUAAUUGCACCAUAUAUUUUCCUUGGUAAUUUAUAGUAAUUUUAUGUCUUUGCAUGUACAAGUGUGCAAAACAACAAAUUUCAUGCCAGAAAUAUCAUUGAUAACAAAUCUGAUCUUGACUCUAGAUCACUCCCAAAGUCAAUGGGAAUUAUGCCAUUGAUCAUGGAUGGGAUAUUGUUACAUCUUCAAACAUAAGACUAUAUCUGCAUUAUUUUAGGACAUAAAUCACACCAAAAGUUGCAUUUCCUCAGGUAACAUUGGUUGAUAGUUUCCCUGAAGGUUACUGGAAAUACAUUCAACAAUCUCAGGUAUUCAGAAAAGAAAAACAUCUUUUGUGUAUAAGGUAAAUUUUAUGCUAGUAAUUAAAUGUAUUUGAAUAAAAGCAGCAGAAAGACACCAAAGUGUGGAACCAUCAUCACCCACAAUUUUCCCUCCAAAUCACAUACAAUCUUUUCUUGAACAAACUGUCACGAUCUAACUCCUGUAAUUUUCUACCCAAUAAAAUUAUGAAAGUAGUUUCAUGACACAACUAACUGGAACCUUCACAAAGAACAAUAGGUACGGACAAUACAUUUUAUCUUGCUCACCACACUAAAUAAAAGAAGAAAUUAAGUUUUGACCCAGAGAUAUAGUAACUUCAGUAAAAUAAGGAAUGGAUAUUGUUUUGGGCAUCUGCUAUAUGAUUAGAGCUUACUAAUGAUACAUUGAGUAUAUGCAGCAGGGACACAGUCCAAAAUAGGCUCACACUGAAA